AGAAACUUUACCGUUGGGGAUCGAUAAAGCCUGCUAGUGGCUCGAGUUCAUCACUCGUGGCGAAAAGCUCAGUAACACGUGGCCAAACUACCCUACAGAGAACGAUAACCUCGGGAAACUGAGGCUAAUAGUUCAUACGGGAGUCAUGCUGGAAUGCCGACUCCCCGAAACGCUCAGGCGCUGUAGGAUGUGGCUGCGGCCGAUUAGGUAGACGGUGGGGUAACGGCCCACCGUGCCGAUAAUCGGUACGGGUUGUGAGAGCAAGAGCCCGGAGACGGAAUCUGAGACAAGAUUCCGGGCCCUACGGGGCGCAGCAGGCGCGAAACCUUUACACUGCACGCAAGUGCGAUAAGGGGACCCCAAGUGCGAGGGCAUAUAGUCCUCGCUUUUCACGACUGUAAGGCGGUCGUGGAAUAAGAGCUGGGCAAGACCGGUGCCAGCCGCCGCGGUAAUACCGGCAGCUCAAGUGAUGACCGAUAUUAUUGGGCCUAAAGCGUCCGUAGCCGGCCACGAAGGUUCAUCGGGAAAUCCGCCAGCUCAACUGGCGGGCGUCCGGUGAAAACCACGUGGCUUGGGACCCGGAAGGCUCGAGGGGUACGUCCGGGGUAGGAGUGAAAUCCCUAAUCCUGGACGGACCACCGAUGGCGAAAGCACCUCGAGAAAACGAAUCNACGGGUGAGGGACNAAGGNUAGGGUCUCGAACCGGAUUAGAUACCCGGGUAGUCCUAGCUGUAAACAAUGCUCGCUAGGUGUAACACAGUGUACGAGCCUGUGUUGUGCCGUAGGGAAGCCGAGAAGCGAGCCGCNUGGGAAGUACGUCCGCAAGGAUGAAACUUAAAGGAAUUGGCGGGGGAGCACUACAACCGGAGGAGCNUGCGGUUUAAUUGGACUCAACGCCGGACAUCUCACCAGCUCCGACUACAGUGAUGACGAUCAGGUUGAUGACCUUAUCACGACGCUGUAGAGAGGAGGUGCAUGGCCGCCGUCAGCUCGUACCGUGAGGCGUCCUGUUAAGUCAGGCAACGAGCGAGACCCGCACUUCUAAUUGCCAGCAGCAGUUUCGACUGGCUGGGUACAUUAGAAGGACUGCCGCUGCUAAAGCGGAGGAAGGAACGGGCAACGGUAGGUCAGUAUGCCCCGAAUGAGCUGGGCUACACGCGGGCUACAAUGGUCGAGACAAUGGGUUGCUAUCUCGAAAGAGAACGCUAAUCUCCUAAACUCGAUCGUAGUUCGGAUUGAGGGGCUGAAACUCGCCCUCAUGGAAGUCUGGAUUCGGUAGUAAUCGCAUUUCAAUAGUAGUGUCGGAAGAAAUAGGUCCCGUGCUCGUGUUCACACACGCGCCGCGGUCGUGUAGCACCGCGCCGUGGGGGUGCGGCGGAGGCAACCACCGAGCGAGCGGGUUUGUGGGAGUGCCGGNAAGUGGGGAGCUNAUUUU
rnacentral:rRNA from 1 species